ACCUGGGUUCCGGGCAGGUUCACGCCCUUGCGGCUGCCCAGGACGCCGCCGUUCUCCACGUGGGUCUCCAGCCCCUCCGGGCCUGCAGGCAUGGAAAGAGCCGGCGUAGGACCCCGGUGCGUAUCUCGGGUCCCUUGGUGUCCAGAGCGAUGGCCACGGGUCGGUAGCUGAGCGGAGAAGUUGCAAAGCUCUGCACGGCCUCCCGGAUGUUGGCGAUGGACUGAGCGUGCCCCACCCCCACGCCAUGUCCGACCCAUCUGGAAAUCCUGUCAACUCUGUCUUCCAAAUGCAUUCGGAACCCCGUCUUGUCUCACCACCGCCACUGCUCCUACCUGGUCUGAGUCAGAAACACUGCAGGAGGGGCGCCUGGGUGGCUCAGUCCGUCAAGU